GGGCCGUUAGCUCAGUCGGUAGAGCAUCUGCCUUUUAAGCAGGGGGUCGCAGGUUCGAAUCCUGCACGGCUCA
rnacentral:tRNA from 1 species